UACGGGGGGAGCAAGCGUUGUUCGGAUUUACUGGGCGUAAAGGGCGCGUAGGCGGCCUCCGCAAGUCAGUUGUGAAAUCUCCGAGCUUAACUCGGAAAGGUCAACUGAUACUGCGGGGCUAGAGUGCGGAAGGGGCAACUGGAAUUCUUGGUGUAGCGGUGAAAUGCGUAGAUAUCAGGAGGAACACCGGUGGCGAAGGCGGGUCUCUGGGCAACAACUGACGCUGAGGAGCGAAAGCGUGGGGAGCAAACAGG
rnacentral:rRNA from 1 species